CGGGGUGGGACUAAGCUAUGCAAGUCUGCAUCCCGAGCUAUGGCGGGAUGCGGCGUACGGCUCAGUAACACGUAGUCAACCUGCCCUCGGGUCGGGGAUAACCUCGGGAAACUGAGGGUAAUCCCCGAUAGGGGGAAGUGGCCUGGAACGGUACUUCCUCCAAAGAUACACACUCCAUGCUGUGUGUAUCGCCCGAGGAUGGGACUGCGUCCGAUCAGGUUGUUGGUGGGGUAACGGCCCACCAAGCCGACGACCGGUACGGGCCGUGUGAGCGGGAGCCCGGAGAUGGGCACUGAGACAAGGGCCCAGGCCCUACGGGGUGCAGCAAGCGCGAAACCUCCGCAAUCCGCGAAAGCGGGACGGGGCCACCCCGAGUGGCACCCCAAAAGGGUGCCUUUUCCCUAGCCUGAACAGCUAGGGGAAUAAGGGGAGGGCAAGGCUGGUGCCAGCCUCCUCUAUGGGUAUAACCCAUGAGGCUGGACGCCGCGGUAAAACCAGCUCCCCGAGUGGUCGGGAUGCUUAUUGGGCCUAAAGCGUCCGUAGCCGGACUGGUAAGUCCCUGGUUAAAUCCGGCGGCUCAACCGUCGGAUCGCUAGGGAUACUACCAGUC
rnacentral:rRNA from 1 species